rnacentral:rRNA from 1 species
UAAAAAAAAAGAAAAUAUGAUAAUAUUAGUAGAUAAUUUUCUUAUGGAAAAUAUUUAAGUUUUUCCUAUAUUUUACUUAGGAAUGUAUAUAAUAAAAGAACUCGGCAAAAACGAUUUCCGAAUGUUUAACAAAAACAUUUCCUCUUAGAAUAGGAGGUAAAGCCUGCUCACUGAAAAUUAAAGAGCCGCAGUAUUUUGACUGUGCUAAGGUAGCAUAAUCAUUAGUCUUUUAAUUGGAGACUGGUAUGAAUGGCUAAACGAGAAAUCUUCUUUUUUUAUUAUAAAUAUCGAAUUUAUUUUUUUAGUGAAAAAACUAAAAUAUUCCUGAAAGACGAGAAGACCCUAUAGAGUUUUAUAUAGUAAACUAUCAUAUUGUAUUAGAUCUUAUUCGAUUUGAUUUUAUUCUGUAAUUUGUUGGGGCGACAUUAAGAUAAAAAAAACUCUUUUUUAUAAAAACUUUGAUAAAUGAAUAACUUGAUCCUUUAAAAAAGAUAAUAAGAUAAAAUUACCUUAGGGAUAACAGCGU